rnacentral:rRNA from 1 species
UACGGGGGGGGCAAGCGUUGUUCGGAAUUACUGGGCGUAAAGGGCUCGUAGGCGGCCAACUAAGUCAGACGUGAAAUCCCGUCGGCUUAACCGGGGAACUGCGUCUGAUACUGGAUGGCUUGAGGUUGGGAGAGGGAUGCGGAAUUCCAAGGUGUAGCGGUGAAAUGCGUAGAGUAUCUGGAGGAACACCGGUGGCGAAGGCGGCAUCCUGGACCAAUUCUGACGCUGAGGAGCGAAAGCCAGGGGAGCAAAGCGGG